AAACCAACAGGGAUUGCCCUAGUAACGGCGAGUGAAGCGGCAACAGCUCAAAUUUGAAAUCUGGCCUUCGGGUCCGAGUUGUAAUUUGUAGAGGAUGCUUUUGGUGAGGUACCUUCCGAGUUCCCUGGAACGGGACGCCAUAGAGGGUGAGAGCCCCGUCUGGUUGGAUACCGAUCCUCUGUAAAGCUCCUUCGACGAGUCGAGUAGUUUGGGAAUGCUGCUCUAAAUGGGAGGUAUAUGUCUUCUAAAGCUAAAUAUUGGCCAGAGACCGAUAGCGCACAAGUAGAGUGAUCGAAAGAUGAAAAGCACUUUGAAAAGAGAGUUAAAAAGUACGUGAAAUUGUUGAAAGGGAAGCGCUCAUGACCAGACUUGGGCUUGGUUGAUCAUCCAGGGUUCUCCCUGGUGCACUCUUCCAGCCCAGGCCAGCAUCAGUUCGCUGUGGGGGAUAAAGGCUUCGGGAAUGUGGCUCCUCCGGGAGUGUUAUAGCCCGCUGCGUAAUACCCUGUGGUGGACUGAGGUUCGCGCAUCUGCAAGGAUGCUGGCGUAAUGGUCAUCAGCGAC
rnacentral:rRNA from 1 species